GACGUAGGGCGCGAGCGUUGUCCGGAUUUAUUGGGCGUAAAGAGCUCGUAGGCGGCUUGUUGCGUCGACCGUGAAAACCCGGGGCUCAACUUCGGGCUUGCGGUCGAUACGGGCGGGCUAGAGUUCGGUAGGGGAGACUGGAAUUCCUGGUGUAGCGGUGAAAUGCGCAGAUAUCAGGAGGAACACCUGUGGCGAAGGCGGCUUUCUGGGCCCUACCUGACGCUGAGACGCGAAAGCGUGGGGAGCGAACCGG
rnacentral:rRNA from 1 species